rnacentral:snRNA from 1 species
AUACUUACCUGGCAGGGGAGAUACCGUGAUCACAAAGGUGGUUUUCAAGGGCGAGCCUUAUCCAUUAUGCACCGGAUGUGCUUGCCUCUGUGAUUUCUCACAUCCACAAAUGUGGGAAACUUGACUGCAUAACUUAUGAUAGUGGGGGACUCCAUCUACGUUCUCUUC